UACGGGGGGGGCAAGCGUUGUUCGGAAUUACUGGGCGUAAGCGUGCGCAGGCGGUGAUGUAAGACAGAUGUGAAAUCCCCGGGCUCAACCUGGGAACUGCAUUUGUGACUGCAUCGCUGGAGUGCGGCAGAGGGGGAUGGAAUUCCGCGUGUAGCAGUGAAAUGCGUAGAUAUGCGGAGGAACACCGAUGGCGAAGGCAAUCCCCUGGGCCUGCACUGACGCUCAUGCACGAAAGCGUGGGGAGCAAACAGG
rnacentral:rRNA from 1 species